UGUUAACCCAUUUCCCUCACACCUUCCUAACUUAAUCUGCCUUUAAACCCAUUUCCCUCACACCUUCCUAACUUAAUCUGCCUGUUAACCCAUUUCCCUCACACCUUCCUAACUUAAUCUGCCUUUAAACCCAUUUCCCUCACACCUUCCUAACUUAAUCUGCCUUUAAACCCAUUUCCCUCACACCUUCCUAACUUAAUCUGCCUUUAAACCCAUUUCCCUCACACCUUCCUAACUUAAUCUGCCUUUAAACCCAUUUCCCUCACACCUACCUAAGAGGUUGAUUUAAUGUAGCACAACAGUGUAUUGAUGAGUUGAAGAGGUUGAUUUAAUGUAGCACAACAGUGUAUUGAUGAGUUGAAGAGGUUGAUUUAAUGUAGCACAACAGUGUAUUGAUGAGUUUGUGUUAUGCCUGUUUAUCAGCAGUAAAUCAUUUGACCACACGCCUUGUGGCUUGAUAUUAUUCUCUUUUAUGUUUAACUUUCUAUAACUAAACUGUUAUGGGACUGUUCUAUUGACUGUAACUCUAAUACUAAUCACAUGUAUUGUAAAGGGAAAUGACAACAUGCUAUGAGUUGCAGCCUUUAGAAUAAUGACAACAUGCAAUGAGUUGCAGUCUUUAGAAUAAUGACAACAUGCAAUGAGUUGCAGUCUUUAGAAUAAUGUAAAACAUGUCCUUGACUCUGUCAAGUUGAUGAACGAAAGUUAGCCUGAAGACAAGAUUACAUUUACAAUAAUCUGAUGAGUGACAAUAUUAGGCCUUUCAGUUGUCAUCUAGUACAUGAAGAGAUGGGAGCAUCUAGUACAUGAAGAGAUGGGAGCAUCUAGUACAUGAAGAGAUGGGAGCAUCUAGAACAUAAAGAGAUGGGAGCAUCUAGUACAUGAAGAGAUGGGAGCAUCUAGUACAUGAAGAGAUGGGAGCAUCUAGUACAUGAAGAGAUGGG
ensembl:lncRNA